CCUACGGGAGGCAGCAGUGGGGAAUAUUGGACAAUGGGGGGAACCCUGAUCCAGCGACGCCGCGUGCGUGAAGAAGUAUUUCGGUAUGUAAAGCUCUAUCAGCAGGGAAGAAAAUGACGGUACCUGACUAAGAAGCCCCGGCUAACUACGUGCCAGCAGCCGCGGUAAUACGUAGGGGGCAAGCGUUAUCCGGAUUUACUGGGUGUAAAGGGAGCGUAGACGGUGCAGCAAGUCUGAUGUGAAAGGUCGGGGCUCAACCCCGGGACUGCAUUGGAAACUGUUGAACUGGAGUACAGUAGAGGUAAGCGGAAUUCCUGGUGUAGCGGUGAAAUGCGUAGAUAUUAGGAGGAACACCAGUUGCGAAGGCGGCUUACUGGACUGUAACUGACGUUGAGGCACGAAAGCGUGGGGAGCAAACAGGAUUAGAUACCCUAGUAGUC
rnacentral:rRNA from 1 species